GGUUUCGUGGUGUAGUGGUUAUCACGUCUGCUUAACACGCAGAAGGUCGCGAGUUAGAGCCUCGCCGAAACCU
rnacentral:tRNA from 1 species